rnacentral:rRNA from 1 species
UCAAUGAAAUUUCAAUAGCCGCAAUAUAUUGUGCUAAGGUAGCAUAAUCAUUCGUUUUUUAAUUAAAAACUAGAAUAAAAGAUUUAACAUUUCUAUUUCUUUCUUAAUUAUAUAUAUUAAAUUUAUCUUAAAUAUAAAAAGAUAUUUACACUUUAAAAAGACGACAAGACCCUAUUGAACUUAACUAAAGUUAAACUGGGGUAGUUAAUUAAAUAUAAUUUUAAUUCUAAAAUUCUAAAAUCAUCUAAUACAAUUAAAUAUAUUUAGUUACCAUAGGGAUAACAGCGUAAUAAUUUUUCAAAGAUCUUAUUCAAAAAAAUAUUUACGACCUCGAUGUUGAAUUAAUAAUCUAUUAAAUGCAAUAAUUAAUAAGAAAGUC